GAUUAUGGCUCAGGACGAACGCUGGCGGCGUGCUUAACACAUGCAAGUCGAACGGGGAUUAGUUGAUUGAGAGCUUCGGCAGGAUAUCGAUUAAUUCGAGUGGCGGACGGGUGAGUAACGCGUGAGCAACCUGUCCCAGACAGGGGGAUAACACUUGGAAACAGGUGCUAAUACCGCAUAAGACCACGGGAUCACAUGGUUCCGGGGUAAAAGGAGCAAUCCGGUUUGGGGUGGACUCGCGUCCGAUUAGCCAGUUGGCGGGGUAACGGCCCACCAAAGCGACGAUCGGUAGCCGACCUGAGAGGGUGAACGGCCACAUUGGAACUGAGAGACGGUCCAAACUCCUACGGGAGGCAGCAGUGGGGAAUAUUGGGCAAUGGGCGAAAGCCUGACCCAGCAACGCCGCGUGAGUGAAGAAGGCCUUCGGGUUGUAAAGCUCUGUUAUAGUUGACGAAGGAAGUGACGGUAGGCUAUAAGGAAGCCCCGGCUAACUACGUGCCAGCCGCUGC
rnacentral:rRNA from 1 species